AAGCAAAACAAGUGAUGUGGAGCAAAAACUCAAAAAGACGGUCUCAGUUCGGACUGAAGGCUGAAAUUCGCCUUCACGAAGUCGGAAUUGCUAGUAAUCGCAGAUCAGCAUGCUGCGGUGAAUACGUUCCCGGGCCUUGUACACACCGCCCGUCACACCAUGGGAGUCGGUAACACCCGAAGCCUGUAGUCUGACCUUUUGGAGGACGCAGUCGAAGGUGGGAUCGAUGACUGGGGUGAAGUCGUAACAAGGUACC
rnacentral:rRNA from 1 species